rnacentral:sRNA from 1 species
AACGCUUUCAAAAUCAUGAUCAUUCAAUAAGAAAAGGGGAUUGAACAAAUGGGUACACUCGUAUGCCAAACUUGUAAUUCUACUAUUGAUCAUUUUGAAGAUGAAAAAGUUACGGUACUAUACUCUAAAUGUAAUUGUUGCAACGACCAGCAUAUUGAAGAAGAAGUAUAAAAAAAUGACAAAGAAAAACAGGUUCCCUUUGGG